GUUUCCGUAGGUGAACCUGGGGAAAGAUCCUUUUUGGAACCUGCCUAGCAGAACGACCCGAGAACUAGUUUCAAAGCGGGGGCCGAGGGGUCCUGCGGCUCCUCGUCCCCUUUAUCUCGGGGGGGUUGCGUUGCGCUCGCGCGGCCGACCCUUCCGGGCGUACAAACGAACACCGGCGCGAAUUGCGCCAAGGAAAUUGAACGAGAGAGCGCGUCCCCGUCGCCCCGGAAACGGUGUGCGAGGGCGGCGUCGUCAUCUUCAAAUAUGUCAAAACGACUCUCGGCAACGGAUAUCUCGGCUCUCGCAUCGAUGAAGAACGUAGCGAAAUGCGAUACUUGGUGUGAAUUGCAGAAUCCCGUGAACCAUCGAGUCUUUGAACGCAAGUUGCGCCCGAAGCCAUUAGGCCGAGGGCACGCCUGCCUGGGCGUCACACGUCGUUGCCCCCCCAUCAACUCCUUCGGGAUUGCGGGGGGCGGAUGAUGGCCUCCCGUGCGCCUCGCCGCGCGGUUGGCAUAAAUACCAAGUCCUCGGCGACGCACGCCACGACAAUCGGUGGUUGCGAGACCUCGGUUGCCCGUCGUGUGCGUUCGUCGCGCAUCGA
rnacentral:misc_RNA from 1 species